CGGAGGGAGGAACAUUUUAGUGUUCUUGGGAAGGAAAACAUGGAGCAAGAAACUUGGGAUAAACGGGUUCGCAGAGGGGGAAGAAUGUAGUGAAUGAGUUGUUGAUGGUGAAUGAUUAGGGAGGCACGUUUGGGUUGCCAGAUUUGAUGAAGGUCGCGACGGAGAUUUUGUGAAAUGGAGGAUUGGGGUCAGCUUACAAUGAUGUGAUGGGUACUGGGUUGUCUGUGGUGGUGAAGAGGAUGAGGGAGAUGAACAGAAGAGUUUGUUGGGUUUGUUAAUCUUCAUCCCGAUGAAGUUUUGCUGGGUUUGAAAUAAAGGCAUUAUCGGGAAAUUUGCUAGUAUGAGGAUGAGGGAGAUUAACAGAAGAGUUUGUUGGGUUUGUUAAUCUUCAUCCUGAUAAAGUUUUGCUGGGUUUGAAAUAAGGGUAUUAUUAGAAAAUUUGCUAGUAUAAAAAGUUUGCCGGGUAUAAUAGCCUUCAAGCUUCCCUCGCAAGCCUCUCUAAGUCUCAGUGUUCACUUUGGCUUGCCCCUAAACCCUUUUGAAAAACAUAUCAAUUUCGUCCCUCUCCAAGCCCCGCCCCGCCCCCCCUUUCCCGCAUUCCUGCGUGUGCGCCUGCAUCAAGAACUCAAUAGACUCGCAGAAGCACACGUCGCGGUCUUAGGGUUUCUGUUAUCGGAGCCAUGGAGCAACAGAGAACGGUUCAGCAGCAAGAUGAGCUCGAAGAAAUGCAGCACGGCCCUGUUCCCGUCGACCAGCUUCAGGUAAACCCAGUUGAAAUUACAGUCGAUUUUGAGCAAUUGAGGGGCUUCCCGAUUUGGGUUAUUGUUCAAUUUGGUUAUGAUGGGGUUAUUGUUCGGAUUCUUAUGUUUGAUUCAAGAUUGAAGAAAGGGGUUUUCUGUUUCUUUCAACUGGGGGUUUUGGUUUGUGUUGAAUCUUGCGCAAGAUUGUAUUUUUUAUAUGGGUUUUGCUUUUGAUUUGGGUUUUGGCGAUGAAAUUCAGUGAUGUUGUUUGCUCAGUCUUGGAUUUUGGGUUUUACAUACUAUGAGAAACCCGAGCCCGGAGGCGAUCAUUUCUUGCUGUCAUUUGUGAUUAGGGUUUUGUUUGUUGAUGGUCAAUUUUUCCCAUUUCAGAAGAAUUUGAGAAUCUUGAUCGAUUGUAUUCACUUUCCUAGUCCGAAGGAUCAAUCUUGUAUCUUUAUUUUGGUAUCACAUUAAAUAACAAGUCCGAUAGUUUUUUUUCUUUCCAAGGUAUGUUUAGCAGUUUAUGAAAAAGUUUGUUUCCUGUUUUGUUUUCCAUUCCACUAGAUUUGGCAUUGCAAUUGUAUUUGUUCAUGAAAGUGGGGAGGUUUGCCUCUCACAAUUUCAGUGCAAAGGGGGAAGACAUAGAGCAGAGAACAAACACUAGACUUGAGCUAUGGAGAGGCACUGAAUCUCUCAAUUUGAUUGAAUGGAAUUGUACUUACUGUUAGGCUGUCAGCUGUUGAGUUUUGUUUUUAGUUCUGCAAAUUUCAGUAUUAUUUUUGUGCGCGUGUGGUUCAUCUUUAUUUAUAUCUAGUAUUGGUUCUGAGGUGCUCGAAGUGUGAAUUACUAACUGCCAAACAGAAUAGGCCUUGGAGAUCAAGCCUGUGCAUUUGCAGUUUCAGAUUGAUAUUCAUUGUAAUUUUUCUUUCAUAAGAGGUAAGGUUGAUGCCCCCCUCUUCCAUUGUACUUUGUUUCCUUUAUGUAGAAAAAAAAAGUGGAGGAAGGGUUUCCGGUUGCCAACAGUUAUUGCAGUGUAUGGAUGCUUUCUAUCCCUCUGUACUGUCACCAUGGUAUCAAUAAGUUGAUACCACUAGAAAGAAGUAUCAGCCAUGGGACGUAAAGAACAACAACAACACUAAACGCACACGGAAACGCGGCCCCAUGCGCGUGCAGGAAGACUAAUAUAUGUAAAACUAAUCCAUAAGUUCUUCACCUAGCAUAUCUACCAUGAUAUUUUCUUUUUUUGCCAUUCAUUGGUCAAUGGGUUGCUACAAUAUUUAUCUGAUUAAAACUACAAUGUUUGAUUAUAUUCUUAUGAUUUUACAUUCAUCGCCGAAGAUUAUAAACCAAAUAUGUAAGUUCAAAUCAAUUCAUUAUUGUUCUUGCAGUUUAUGUUGGAAAUUA